AGCCACGUGGUGAGCACAGAGCGAACUAUUCUUUCGCCUUUUACUAACGAAUACCGUGUGCUCGCCACUUUGAGUGGCAUACGCUAAUUUUGAAAAGGGGGUAAGUUUUGGCCUU